GAUGAACGCUGGCGGCGUGCUUAACACAUGCAAGUCGAACGGAAAGGCUCCUGCUUGCAGGGGUACUCGAGUGGCGAACGGGUGAGUAACACGUGGGUGAUCUGCCCUGCACUUCGGGAUAAGCAUGGGAAACUGGGUCUAAUACCGGAUAGGACGAUGGUUUGGAUGCCAUUGUGGAAAGUUUUUCGGUGUGGGAUGAGCUCGCGGCCUAUCAGCUUGUUGGUGGGGUAAUGGCCUACCAAGGCGUCGACGGGUAGCCGGCCUGAGAGGGUGUACGGCCACAUUGGGACUGAGAUACGGCCCAGACUCCUACGGGAGGCAGCAGUGGGGAAUAUUGCACAAUGGGCGCAAGCCUGAUGCAGCGACGCCGCGUGGGGGAUGACGGCCUUCGGGUUGUAAACUCCUUUCGCUAGGGACGAAGCGCAAGUGACGGUACCUGGAGAAGAAGCACCGGCUAACUACGUG
rnacentral:rRNA from 1 species